UCAGACGAUGCGUCAUGCAUAUCAAUAAGCGGAGGAAAAGAAACUAACAAGGAUUCCCCUAGUAACGGCGAGUGAAGCGGGAAGAGCUCAAAUUUGAAAUCUUAAAGGGUUUCCCUUUACGAAUUGUAGUUUAAAGAAGUGUUUUCUGUUGAGGUUUUGGUAAAGGUUCUUUGGAAUAGGACAUCAUAGAGGGUGAGAAUCCCGUAUUUGACCUUUACUUUCAACUUUGUGAUACACUUUCAAAGAGUCGGAUUGUUUGGGAAUGCAGUCCAAAAUGGGUGGUAAAUUUCAUCUAAAGCUAAAUAUUGGCGAGAGACCGAUAGCGAACAAGUACCGUGAGGGAAAGAUGAAAAGAACUUUGAAAAGAGAGUUAAACAGUACGUGAAAUUGUCAAAAGGGAAGCGUUUGACACCAGUGUUGUUUUUCUGAAAAUCAAUUAAAGAACUGUUUAUGCUAAGCUGUUUAGACUUUAUCAGCUAUCUGUUUAGUUUUGAGCUUUUCUUUAAUGCACUUUUCAGUUAACAAGUCAACAUCAAUUUCUUUUGCUGUAAAAAAGCUUGAGGAAGGUGGCUUGAGAUUCGUCUUAAGUGUUUAUAGCCUCUUGCCUAUGCAGUCGGAGAGAUUGAGGUCUGCAGCGUAGAUCCUUCGGGGCUAAAUGCAUUUGUGCUAAGUUAUAGCAUUUUAUAGACAACUUGUUGACUAUGAUUUGUCUUGUAGCUUACUCGCUUAUGUUAUUUUACCUACGCUUAGGAUGUUGAAUCUGUGCGAGACUAC
rnacentral:rRNA from 1 species